CGUAGGGGCUAGCGUUGUCCGGAAUCACUGGGCGUAAAGGGUUCGCAGGCGGAAAUGCAAGUCAGGUGUAAAAGGCAGUAGCUUAACUACUGUAAGCAUUUGAAACUGCAUAUCUUGAGAAGAGUAGAGGUAAGUGGAAUUUUUAGUGUAGCGGUGAAAUGCGUAGAUAUUAAAAAGAAUACCGGUGGCGAGGGCGACUUACUGGGCUCAUUCUGACGCUGAGGAACGAAAGCGUGGGUAGCAAACAGGAUU
rnacentral:rRNA from 1 species